UCUGUGUCCUUGCUCUUCAACCAGACAGUUACUUCCACUGCUCUCUUCUUGAUAGAUAAGCUUCAGAGGAUGCUGUGUCAAGCUUCUCCCCACCCUCCUCUAUCUCUCCCACCCCCCCUGGCUCCAGGCCUGAAAGUGCUUGGAUUACUUUCACAAGCAUAUCCUUAAGCAGAGCUAGUCCUACGGCCCAUUGAGGUGCAAAGGAAGCUGGGAAAUGAAGGCUUCCUGUGCCCAGAAGGAAAACAAAAAUAGCAAGUAAACAUAUUGCCUGUCUCUACACUGUGACCCAGAUGGCCAAUUUCAGUACUCUCAAAUCCCAGGAAUAUUAUUUUCCUGCCACUUCACUGCCAGCCCAUAUGAUGGGCACUCAUCUCUAUUUACACACUGACUUUUGGGGACCAGAUUUAAGAUAUCCAGUGCAAUACCUGGGAUGUCCUCUGCCUACUGCCAAAGAAAUGGAUUUUCCCCGGGGCAUAUGAAAGGACGUUGAUGAAUGCUGGUGGACAAUAGAGACAAGACUUGUUUCCUUUAAGGAAUGUGAAUGGCCCUGGAACAGACAAAUGAAUCUCAUGAGGCUGGAAAUUCAAGAUCAAGGUAUCACCACGGUUGGAUCCUGGUGGGAGUCCACUUCCUGGAUUGCAGUGCACCUUUGCAGUGGUUUCAUAAAGAGGUGGAGUCUUCACGUCCCUGGGAUCAUGGCUUGCCUUGGCCAACGGGUCAUUAGGCAACAUGACAUAAACACAGCCUAGAAAAGUGCAGGCUCACUGUGGCUUGCUCCCUCCUGCUGCUCUUUGGAACUUUGAGUCCACCACGGGAAGAAGUCUGGGCUAGCCCGCAGGAGUGGGAGAGACCACAUCUGAGAAGAAAGGAGCCAUCGCAGCUAAAUCCUCUACUCCUUGACCAACUAGCCAACGAUGACACCCAUCAAUAAGGCCUCUCCCUCAACCAUUCAGCCUCAGCUGAGCUCUUUAGACCAGAAUAACCAGUCGGCCAACCCGCAGAAGCAACAAUAAAAAUAAGUUUGUGCUGCUUUAAACCACUAAACUUGGGGGUGGUUUGAAAUACAACAGAAGUUAACUAAUGCAGCAUGA